CACGUAGGGUCCGAGCGUUGUCCGGAAUUACUGGGCGUAAAGGGCGCGUAGGCGGUCCUGAUCGUCGGAUGUGAAAGGCCUGGGCUCAACCUGGGAACUGCAUCCGAUACGGCGGGACUGGAGUGUGGGAGAGGUUGGUGGAAUUCCCAGUGUAGAGGUGAAAUUCGUAGAUAUUGGGAAGAACACCGAUGGCGAAGGCAGCCAUCUGGACCGACACUGACGCUGAGGCGCGAAAGCGUGGGGAGCAAACAGG
rnacentral:rRNA from 1 species